GGAAUAUAAGAAACUGUCUCUUAACUUUUAAUUAAAAAAGGUAAGAACCAGCUCUUAAAUAAAAGUUUUAAGAACCGGUUCUUAGCUUUUUUAGUUAGAAGUUAAGAGACGAAUUCUUAUAUUUC
rfam:Brassica oleracea var. oleracea cultivar TO1000 chromosome C2, whole genome shotgun sequence